AUGCCCAUUGUGAAACCACCAGAGUGGGAUGGCAUGUCUGCCAAGGAGCAGUUGUUGUGGUACCUUGAGAGGUUAUGCGCUCAGGCAGAUGAGAUGAGCUCAGUGCUGGGUAUUGCAAGCGCGGGUGCCCCUCCCGUGGUUACCCCGCUCGAUCCGGCGGCCUCAACCACGACGCACCCCUCCUCGGCGCCCGUCCCCGACGUCUCCGGCUCCACCACCAAGGCCCAGGAAGUGCUCGAGGUCAUCCACGACGCAGCUCCUGUCUGUGUCGUGAUGGCGCCCGUCACCUGUUCGACAGAUGGCCCGAACCAAGCUGUCGCCUCCACCAACGUCAACGAGGUCCGCGACGCCACCACCAUCACCUACUCCGAGCCUGCGGUCGACAACAAGGAGGUCGAGCAUGUCACACCCGCGCUGGCAACGUCCUCCAUCAGCAGCGACACAUACUCUAUCACCAAGGAGGUUGUUCCUUCCAUGGCGAUCACCACCGACAUCGACCCCAAGGCUGAUGUCAAUACCACCCCAGUGACGAGCGAGGUGGACCACAAUGCCAUUCUCCUCAUCCCGAGCGAUCCUGCUGCACCAACACUGACCAGGUGGUGUUCGACGAACUCCUGCCGCCGCGACAGCAACCGACUGAGGUAUGUGCUCCACCCAGCUGCGACACCAUCGUGGCUGGUGCUACGACCAAAAGCAUGGCCAUCAUUUUGGAGGGAUCAUGCAGAGGAAACCGAGGUGCGACCGAUACCCUGGCCGUCGUUUUCACUGGGAAGGUUCCUGGAGCGUCCAUAUAUGAAUGUCCAGUUGCAUGGCAUUGGGUUCAAUAUCAGCUCCAUUCCUAGGGAACUCUUUCAUAUUGGAGAAUUGGUGUGCGAUACAUGGGAGUGGUGGUAUAAUCUCAGUGGACACUACAUAAGGAUAUUCUCUGGUCUGUCCUUAUGCUUAUGGCCCUUGAAACAGGACAAUGAGGAUUCAGAAUUCAGUAAGCAUGUCAAACUCUUUCAUGGCAGUCACUGGCUUGUGGAACUCUGUGCACGUGCUAGCACUAGUGCUCCUGUUAUGCAUCAGUCUUGUCUUGCAACUCUAGCUGUGCAUCUAUUUUGGACUGAAGAAAUUGGGUGUUCUGAGCAUAGAACUCGCCAUCAGCAUUGA
rnacentral:rRNA from 1 species